GGGAGCUUUUGAAUGCUGCGAAGAGAGAAGACGCCGGUUUUCAUCGAAGUUUUUGUUAAACCCUGGAAAUCAACGCCACAAUUAAUGCCCCUCCCCAGAAAGAACCGCACCGGCAGCAACCCCGUCAGUUCAGUCUUCAGCACACGACGCAACAAAGUCACCCAACCUACCUUAGACCUUCAGCACCGCAGGCAAUAUCGACACCUCGGACUCAUGAUGUGGUCAAUUCCACGCUGGUGUAACAAGCCAUUAAGCCUCAGGCAUGUGCACUGGCUCUUCAUGAGCCCAGUCUCUUAAACAUCUCACCCAUAGAUUGUGUCAGCUGAUGGUAUUGUACAAAUUGCAACAUGAUCAGAGAAAUAGUAGUGGCAAGUUACACUGAGUGAGAGGAGGUAGUGUGAAAUCACUGGUGCCAAGGUGGGCUGAUGUGGACUACCAUACCUCCUAACGUGGACAAGUAAUACACUACUUACCCGAAAUGAACCAUGUUGUAUUUGUUCUGUUACACCCAUACAUAAUUCGUUAGUUCCAUUGGAAGAAAUUCAUUGGAAUUCCAUGGAACAUCCCUCCCAUGAAAUGCGUAUAUACUGUCAUUCUUGAAGGUUGCAGUGUGGUACCACUAGCAACCCGACUUGCAUGUGCAAUUGUUGCAUAGCUCAGGGUUUCAGAGCUAAUUAUGGGGUACUUCUGUCCUGGUAGCACUGACUGGUUUACGUGCCUCAUGCGUGUGCCGUGUGUGCAGGGUAGCUGCUUUUGCUUCCCAGACAAACCUAUGCAAGUAUGAAUAAUGCUUUAAGCUUCACUUGUUGUUACUGUACUACCGCCUAUUGUCCAAAAGACUAGUCCAUGACCCAAAGUGCUAAAAGCACAGCAACUAAAGAACUACAUCACUGCAACUGGAGGUCUGUGUUGAUGUGGGUGCUCUUGCAGACCAUUUCUUGAUAGCGCAACACCAGUGUGAACAUUUUGUCAAGGGGAAGAUUGCAGAAGUGCAAUAACAAGUGAAUUUCAGUACACACAAAUUGAAUAAAUAUUGUCUUGCAUUAGGAGUAUAUAAUCAGCUGUCCGGUGUAUCUGUAGGUGAGGUGUUUAUACAAAGUAAAUAUUGACUGUUCUAACGUGUGGUACAGUAAAAAGAGUUUCACUUAGUGAUCCGUGGAGUGCUAUAUUUUCCCUCCACUCUUCCUUGAGAAUAUACUUACAAUAUGGUAUGGAUCACCUUGCAAUGGUAUCGUUUGAUUGUACCACUCAUUGCAGUCAAUAUUAGCAUACAUUGUACUUAAAAGGCAGUGGUGUAGUCAAGUACAUUUCCAUGAGUACGAAAUGUACUGGAGUAUGAGUAUGAGUACUGCAACACUGCUAGAAGGCAUAUGAAGUGUGACUCAUGAGAAUGUGGAGGUGCACAUUGAUCUAUGCAAGACAAAGCUUUGCUUACUGCAUUUAUUCUAGCUUUAUAUGAACAUCUUCCAUAUGCCCAGUGACAUCUGAAACAUUUUUGUCAUUGACCUGACCAAUCACAUUGCUUUAUGACUAUAACAAUGAACAAGUAAGGGCGUUGUUUUCUUCUCUUGCUUUUGCAAAGUUUAAGGAAAACAAGACAAGUCCCUGCAUGCUUGAUUGAUGCGGCAUGAUUGUCAACAUCUGACAUGGUUUCUGCACAUCCACGUACUCUGGUUCAUAUUUAACUUAUGUAACUUCUUGGAAGCUUCCAUCCUAUUGUUCAUUUGUGUCUCGGUAAACAGUCAAAAUGUGGUAUUAAGCGCAUUCAGUUUUGCUGUUGAACCACUGUUAUUAACACAUUGAACCCAACUUUUUCAACAACUCAGAAUAUAGUAUAGGUAGAUUUUUCUUUAGGACAUUAAUAUCCAUGAUAUAUAUACGUAUAUAUUUUUAAGAAGGGGCUGAAGUCCAGCACUUUUUGAGUGAGAAAGCUAGAAUUGUUUUGCUUGUAUCCUAUUGUGUAUAGCUAUCCCGAGAUAAGUUGUGUCUAGUUUCUGUGCUGUUAUAGUUUGGUUUUCGUAUAUGGCACAUGAUGUAGGGUUUGAUAUUUACUUUGCUAGCUUGUGAUUUGCAACUUUGCCACAAACAUUUAAGAUAAAUAUAAAGAUCAUAAAAUGAUCACUUUUUUGUUAUUAAUUUCAUUAAUCAGAAAUACAGGUGGAAUGUAGGUUAGCUAUACACAUCAAUCAUAUUGACAAAUAUGUUGGUUUGUAUAAAAAAAAAAGGCCUCCUGUUUAAACGAUAUACUUAAAGUCUUUAUUAGUUUAAUUGUGUUGGACAAUAUAUUUCAAAUGAUGUUUAUUAUAUAAAAAAGUGAUCACAUAGGGAAAUGGUUUCAGUAAAUUAUGUUUAAAAGAAAUCAUUUCUGCUAUGCAAAAUGUAAAAAAAAGGUUUAAAUAUUGUAUGGUUUUACUUGUUUAUGUAUAUUCAUUUACUUUUACAAAAUUGUGCAAUUUAUGAAUUAAUAACUGAGCUUUCAGACAUUUGAGAUGGAAAAAGUCAACAUUGAUACUAAAGGACCUAAGACAAGAAAUGGGAAAAUGGGGGGGGGGGGGGGCGGAGCGUUUGUUGAAUUCUUUAUUUCAGUUAUGCUGGUAGCUUUAUUUAUUUGACAUGGUCCUACAGAAACUGCAAUUGUUGCAAUAAAGUAGUCCAAGUUAUUCUUUUGCUAACUGCGAAAACUGUAAACUAAUGAAUGUACACAUGUUUUUGUGAGAAUAGAUGUGGUUUAUUGUAACAAUGUAUGGUUAUAUUUUGUACAAAUUAUCCUACUUCCCAUGCAUGGAUGCUGUGAUUAUGUUCAGUAAUUUAGUUGUUUUAAGUCUAUUUUCUUCGGUCAAGAUAGAGGUUCUGAGUACAAACAAUGUGCUUUUUAAAAAUGAACGAGUGAUUGUUUGAAUUAUUGUCUGGUACAAUUUAUGUUGCACAUUGUGACUUGCUUUUCACAGAGUGCAUGUACAUGUAAUAUAUGAAUUCUGUAACGUAUGUACUACUAGUAUGUUAUGUCCAGUGGCCCUAAGAGUGAAAUAACAUUAUGUGAGACUUGCA